rnacentral:lncRNA from 1 species
CUUUGUUCUCAUACAUGGAUCCUAUCUCGGAUUUCAUGGCCUCAAGCCAUUUGUUGGAAUCCAGGCCCGCCAUCGCUUCUUCAUAGUUCGAAGGUUCACUAUUGUCCAACAACAUGACUUCCAUGACAGGGUUGUCGUACCACUCUGGUGCGGAACGUGUCCUUGUGGACCUUCGAGGUUCAAAAGCAACUUGAUCUGAAAUUUCAUGAUCAUCAUAAUUAAC